UACGAAGGGGGCUAGCGUUGCUCGGAAUCACUGGGCGUAAAGCGCACGUAGGCGGAUUGUUAAGUCAGGGGUGAAAUCCUGGAGCUCAACUCCAGAACUGCCCUUGAUACUGGCGAUCUCGAGUCCGGGAGAGGUGAGUGGAAUUCCUAGUGUAGAGGUGAAAUUCGUAGAUAUUAGGAAGAACACCAGUGGCGAAGGCGGCUCACUGGCCCGGUACUGACGCUGAGGCGCGAAAGCGUGGGGAGCAAACAGG
rnacentral:rRNA from 1 species